CUACGGGCGGCUGCAGUUAGGAAUAAUCUACAAUGCGCGAAAGCGUGAUAGUUUGAGCCAGAGUGUUUUUCAAUUGAAAGACUUUUGUGAAAUGUAAAAAGUUUCACGAAUAAGGACUGGGUAAGACUAGUGCCAGCCGCCGCGGUAAUACUAGCGGUCCAAGUCGCAACCAUUUUUAUUGGGUCUAAAACAUCCGUAGCUUGCUUGACAAGUCUUCUGUGAAAUUUUACGUCUAAAACGUAGAGCGCGCAGAAGGUACUAUCAAGCUAGAGACCGGAAGACGUAAGAAGUACAUUCAGAGUAGCGGUUAUAUGUGUUAAUCCUGGAUGGACUAACAAGAGCGAAGGCAUCUUACGAGGACGGUUCUGACAGUAAGGGAUGAAAGCUAGGGGCGCAAAUGGGAUUAGAUACCCGCGUAGUC
rnacentral:rRNA from 1 species